rnacentral:rRNA from 1 species
CCUACGGGGGGCAGCAGUGAGGAAUAUUGGUCAAUGGACGAGAGUCUGAACCAGCCAAGUAGCGUGAAGGAUGACUGCCCUAUGGGUUGUAAACUUCUUUUAUAUGGGAAUAAAACGUUCCACGUGUGGGAUUUUGUAUGUACCAUAUGUAUAAGGAUCGGCUAACUCCGUGCCAGCAGCCGCGGUAAUACGGAGGAUCCGAGCGUUAUCCGGAUUUAUUGGGUUUAAAGGGAGCGUAGGUGGAUUGUUAAGUCAGUUGUGAAAGUUUGCGGCUCAACCGUAAAAUUGCAGUUGAAACUGGCAGUCUUGAGUACAGUAGAGGUGGGCGGAAUUCGUGGUGUAGCGGUGAAAUGCUUAGAUAUCACGAAGAACUCCGAUUGCGAAGGCAGUUCACUGGACUGCAACUGACACUGAGGCUCGAAAGUGUGGGUAUCAAACAGGAUUAGAUACCCUUGUAGUC